rnacentral:rRNA from 1 species
AUUGAACGCUGGCGGCAGGCCUAACACAUGCAAGUCGAGCGGAUGAAGGGAGCUUGCUCCUGGAUUCAGCGGCGGACGGUUGAGUAAUGCCUAUGAAUCUGCCUGGUAGUGGGGGAUAACGUCCGGAAACGGGCGCUAAUACCGCAUACGUCCUGAGGGAGCAUGUGGGUGAUCUUCGGACCGCACGCUAUCAGAUGAGCCUAGGUUGGAUUCGCUAGUUGGUGGGGUAAAGGCCUACCAAGGCGACGAGCCGUAACUGGUCUGAGAGGAUGAUCAGUCACACUGGAAGUGAGACACGGUCCAGACUCCGACGGGAGGCAACAGUGGGGAAUAUUGGACGAGGGGCGAAAGGGGGAUCCAGCCAUGCCGCGUGUGUGAAGAAGGUCUUCGGAUUGGAAAGCACUUUAAGUUGGGAGGAAGGGCAGUAAGUUAAUACGGGGCGGUAUUGACGGUACCAAGAGAAUAAGCACCGGCUAACUUCGUG